GUGAGGAAUUUUCCGCAAUGGGCGAAAGCCUGACGGAGCAAUGCCGCGUGAAGGAUGAAGGCCUAUGGGUUGUAAACUUCUUUUCUCAGAAAAGAAUUAUGACGGUAUCUGAGGAAUAAGCAUCGGCUAACUCAGUGCCAGCAGCCGCGGUAAGACAGAGGAUGCAAGCGUUAUCCGGAAUGAUUGGGCGUAAAGCGUCUGUAGGUUGUUUAAAAAGUAUUCUGUCAAAGAUUAGGGCUUAACCCUAGAUAGGCAGAAUAAACUUUUAAGCUAGAGUUUGGUAGAGGCAGAGGGAAUUCCCGGUGGAGCGGUGAAAUGCGUAGAUAUCGGGAGGAACACCAAAGGCGAAGGCACUCUGCUGGGCCAAUACUAACACUGAGAGACGAAAGCGAGGGGAGCAAAUGGGAUUAGAUACCCGAGUAGUCC
rnacentral:rRNA from 1 species